CCGCGGUAAUUCCAGCUCCAAAAGUGUAUAUUUAAGUUGUUGCGGUUAAAAAGCUCGUAGUUGGAUUUUGGGCUCGGGCCGUCGGUCCGUCGCAAGGCGUGUACUGGCGUGCCCGGCCUCACCUUCGGUUCACCGUCGGUGCUCUUGACUGAGUGUUGGCGGCGGCCGGAACGUUUACUUUGAAAAAAUUAGAGUGUUCAAAGCAGGCGGUUCGCCUGAAUAAUGGUGCAUGGAAUAAUGGAAUAGGACCUCGGUUCUAUUUUGUUGGUUUUCGGAGCGCGAGGUAAUGAUUAAGAGGGACGGACGGGGGCAUUCGUACUGUGCCGCUAGAGGUGAAAUUCUUGGAUCGGCGCAAGACGAACAACUGCGAAAGCAUUUGCCAAGAAUGUUUUCUUUAAUCAAGAGCGAAAGUCAGAGGUUCGAAGACGAUCAGAUACCGUCCUAGUUCUGACUAUAAACGAUGCCAACUAGCGAUCGGGGGGCGUUACUUUGACGACCUCUCCGGCAGCUUUCGGGAAACCAAAGUCUUUGGGUUCCGGGGGAAGUAUGGUUGCAAAGCUGAAACUUAAAGGAAUUGACGGAAGGGCACCACCAGGAGUGGAGCCUGCGGCUUAAUUUGACUCAACACGGGAAAUCUCACCCGGCCCGGACACAGUGAGGAUUGACAGAUUGAGAGCUCU
rnacentral:rRNA from 1 species